UUGCUUCAGCACCACAUAUAUUAAAAUUGGAACGAUACAAAGAAGAUUAGAAUGGCCCCUGUGCAACAAUGACACACAAAUUUGUGAAGUGUUUUUAUAUUUA